rnacentral:lncRNA from 1 species
UUUUUUUUUUUUUUUUUUUUUGGCCUUUUUAGGGCUGAACCCAUGGCCUGUGGAGAUUCCCAGGCUAGGGGUUAAAAUCAGAGCUGUGGCCGCUGGCCUACACCACAGACACAGCAAUGUCAGAUGCAAGCCGUGUCUAUGACCUACACCACAGCUCAGAGCAACACGGGAUCUUUAACCCACUGAAUGAGGCCAGGGAUUGAACCUAAAAAUGUCAAAACUUUUAAAUAAAGACAGAAUCAGUAUUACUGAAUUUUCUGAUUUUAGGCUCCAAUAUGACCUUUCAUAGCAAUGUUAUUGAUAUACUUUAUAUUUAAAAUUUAGGAUUUACCUUCAUACAGCAAACAAAACAACCACCAGUGGCUUAAAUUAGAGAGCAAUUUCUUUCUUACAUAAAGUCCUGAGUCAGCAGCUCUGGGGAUGGGGGUGUGGAGGGAGUUUCAUGGCACCAUCCAGAGUUCCUUCUCCUGCCUUUUCAUCUCAGCAUCUUCAGCCUGUGUUUUGUUUUGCUUUUCAAGGUCCCAUUCUGAUGCCUAUGGCUGUGUUGAGUGAGGAGGAGGAAGAAUGCAGAAGAGCCUAGAAGGGUCUUCUCUCAGCUGAGUCAGCUCAGCUUUUCAAGUAGCCUUGCCACAAUUCCAUGUUUCCACUUACAUCUUCCUGGUAAAGACUCACCCCUUUGUCAUUUCUAGUCAGUAAAGAGGUUUGGAACAGAGACUUCUAUUCUAGGCUGCAGUGUGCUCCCCUACAAAUCAGAAUUCCCUAUUUAAGGAAGAGAAGGCCAGAUGUCAGGAGAAGGAAAUUAAUAAUCUCGAACAGGUGUAAUACCAUCUCAGAUCCCAAAGUAUGAAAGGAGCUGACCCAAUUCCUAUUUAUUUCAUAGUGCCAUAAAUAUCAGUAAAUAGCAAUCAUUUUCUUUGGAGGAAAAUGCAAAGUCAAAUGAACUAAAUAGAAAUUGGAGAACUCUAAGCUUCCACACAUACUGAGAAUUGUUGAAAAUACCAACACUAAUGGGUUUGGCUCACCAUCUUCCCAGGGCCCAUGGGGAACUUCUACCUUAUCAUCCUGGUCAGUAUGAGGGGUGCUAUUAGACUCAAGGAGUAACUUGCCCCAUUUACUGGGAAAAUAUAUGCUCUUUUUCUUUCUUUGUGUCAAGUCCAUUGCUCUGAAUAUUUGAGGUGCAAAUUCUCAUCACCUUUAGGAUCCUGGGGUUGAUGUCAAUAUGGUCUCUCUUCCCGAGCUUAAAUUCCCUUCCUUCUCACUGCUGACGGCUAUGGAGAGGUGGCUAUAAAGUUUUCCAGGGCAACUAUUCAACCCUGGAGCAGUAUGUCUAUUUGAGGAAGAAACUUAUAUCAUAACAAUUUUGAACAAGGUUAAUAGGUUUUGUUUUGUUUGCUUCCCUCACCCAAACCAGUGCGAUAUCAGUAUGGGAGCCCCAGACCAAGUGCUGAAAGGCAGGGUUUUAUUAAAUCUUUAAGAGAAAAUGCAAUAAAACUAUGGGUCUGCAAUAGGAAAAUUUGUUUGUUUGAAGGCCAAAAUACAUAAAUCAAUCAUCCAUCAGAGAAAAAAUAUAAAGCCCACAUGAAGUAAAAUAUUCCAUUUUGGUUUCAUUGCUUGUAUUUACCCAAUGUUUAGAUUUUGAUGCAACAGAGCUUUUGUUAAUGAUACAUUCAGAAAAUACUUCAGUAUACCUCAACGUGGGGGAGCAAGGGCAGAAAAGAAAAGACCACUGAAAAGACUUUUCCACUGGAACACGUUAUUCAGAUAUUGGAUAUUCUCUGUGGUCUCCACAACAUAAGUGGUAAAAACUUGGUACUGUCUCUGAAAGAGAUGAAGAUAUUCCCUAAGGAUUACACGUUGGGAAUGAGUCUGAGCCAGGGCUUGAACAGACCUACACCUUCUAACUACAGAAGAACCUGCUGCCAUCAAACAUGCUGUCCAGGAGCACAGCAGAAUGAAAAUAAGUGAGGCAAAGGGGUGGCCGGGCCCUUUGAGAACAGCAGAGAGGCAGGAGGGGGCAGCUCAAGUGUUCAGGAGUCCCCCUCGAUGUGUUAUUAAAUCCCUGACAUCACACUCUGCCAUCUACUCAACAUUUCUUUCACCUCUUACCAUGGCUUGUUGAGCUGUGAUAAUCCUGUCAUCACUGUUCUUCAAUUCUCUUCUAUCCUUAAGCCACGGAAAGUGCCCUCAGUGGUGAAUUAGCAGGAAAUUGUCUGUAAGAUUAAACAAAAAUGGCUGUAUCCUCUUAACCUCAGAAGAAAAUGAAGUUAAAAGCCCUUUCCUCUCUUAGGCUGAUGGCUUCUCUGCCUGAUUUAUGGGGUGAUAGGAAAAAGCCAUUUUGUACCCCAUUUCCACUUUAUAUUGGUACAGGAGGCUGUGGAAGUGCAGAUUCGAUCCCUGGCCCGGGAACUUCCAUGUGCCAUGGGUGUGGCCAUAAAAAAAUAAAAUAGUGAAAUAAUAUAUAUUCAGUCACAACACUGUAUAUCAUCCUGUUUACAAGAUGUCUUUUUCCUUUGUUUAUUUAAUUUAGUCUAACUGUCCAAAAGAUAUCUGGGGCAUCAUUGUAGGAUUUUAAACCAAAGAGAUUAGUUCACAAUGUUAAACAGGAAAAAUUCUAUCUCUUCAGAAAUGUUAGCAAAAAUAGGUUGCAAUAUUGAAUUUCAUUCUCUCAAAUAAAUCUGACAGAAAACAAAUCUUUCUUGAUAGGUUUUAUCCUCUUUGAAAAAAAAACUGCACGAGAAGAGUCUCUUCUCUUUACAUUCUCUGAAUGGAUUUAAUUAAUCCUUUUCAUUUGUCGUCUGACUCUUAGCUGCAAAACAAAGGACAUAGAAGACCAAGGUAGGAGCUAAUUUCUUGUAUAAAAUAGGAUUUGGCAUUUAUUCAGGAUGUAAACCAACACAGAAGAAAUCAUAACCCAGACCAGUUGCCAAAUCAGAAGCCAGUUCUGAGUUGUCCUGUUUUCUGACAUUUUCUGAGCAUGCUUUUUGUCCAGGCUCAGAACUCAUUUGGAUUUUAAUCAAGUUUGUUGAGUACCCAAGCAGACAGGAUAAACCUAGUGUAUGUAGAUUUUCUGUUCUUCAGGACAUGGACAACCCCUACCAGGAGUUGAUUCUUAUCUAUUUUUGGUGGGAGGAGGUGGGGGGAACUAAAUUGAAUGAUUACUUCUUCAUUUAAAAAAAAAAUAAUACUCAAGGACUUUGAAAUCACACUGUCUUGAGUUGAAUUAUAAGCUUUUAUAAAAUUCAUAUAAUUUUAUAUAUGCAGUUUCCCUUCCUGUUAACCAAAUUUUACAUCUACCUUAAGUUCCCAGAAUUCUUUUCUAGCUUUGUUGAGACAUAAUUGACGUAUGACAUGGUGUAAGUUUAAGGUGUGCAAUGUAAUGAUUUGAUAAUUUAAAUAUGGCUAAAUGCUUACCAUGACAGGGUUAGCUAACAAGAUUAAUUCACACAAUUACCAUUUUAUUCUUGUUGUUUCUGUUGUUAUGGCGAGAACAUUAAAACUCUGCUCACAUAGCAACAUUCGAGCAUAUAAUACAGUAUCAUUAACUGUGGUCACCAUGCUGUACCCAGAUCUUAUUCAUCUUAUAACUGAAAGUCUGCACUGUUUCAUCCGUAUCCCCCCAUUUCCCCAACUCAAUCCAUGGUAAUCAUUCUCCUGUCUGUUUUUAUCAUUCUCCUGUAUGUUUCUAUGGGUUCAGUGUUUUUAAGUUCUACCUGUAAUUGUAUUACGUGCUUGAUAAGAAGAGUUAGGAACCCCCAUUCAUGGCCUAAACAAUGAACUCUUAGUUUAAAAUACACAGAGUUCCCAUUGUGGCUCAGCAGAUUAAGAAUCUGUUAUGGAUGCAGGUUUGGUCCCUGGGCUUGCUCAGUGGAUUAACGAUCCAGCGUUGCCACAAGCUGCAGCAUAGGUUGCAGAUGUGGCUCGGAUCUGGCAUUGCUGUGACUGUGGCAUAGGCCUGCAGGUGUAGCUCCAAUUGAACCCCUAGCCCAGGAACUUCCAAAUGCCACAGGUGUGGCCCUAAAAAGGACAAAAUACAUUUUCUUAGGGGACAAAGGAGAGAAUUUGUUUUAAGAUAUUCUUCAUUUGAGGUUUAAAGCAUUAAGUAUUCAAAAGAAUAAAAUUCAUGUGCCCUGAAAUAUAAAAUAGAAUUUCACAAGCCAAGGAUUCUACUGUAUUGAAUCAUAUAAAUCAUUGAAAUUAUCCAAAUGUGAUUACUUUCUCAAAUUAGAAACACUAUUUCAGCAAGUCAGUCAAUGUUUGAUUCAAUGUUUGGUAGAGGUUCAUGUCUGCAGUGUGAGUGAUACUGAACCAAUGUGAUCCAGUCACUUAAAAAACCUCUUAUUUCCAGAAGGAGGCAGUUUGGGCUCAAUCAGGAUUCCUAAGGAGUGCUCUGAAAAUUAAGAAUAGAACAGAGAGAGUUUGAUAACCUAACACUCAGAAAAUCUUUAGGAUUCACAACAGUGAGAUAUUUUAAGGUGGACAAAAAUCAUGUAGGUUUCAAUUCUGUAUUCCUAAGAACAGAUGACUAGGGAGCCCUUCUUUCCAUGGGUCACCUGGCAGAACAGGUUAUUGAAAAGCAGGAGCCACCUCUGAUAUAGAGAGAAAUAACACCCAUAAGUGUGUGUUCAACAAUAGGCACUCUAAGCUAACAUGAAAAAAAAGCUGGUGAUUUCUGAAGAAAACUUGGAAUACUCCAUGGCAAACCCAAAUGUGUGUCACAACAGAAUCAUUACAGCAUCGUGACUAUAAUUAACUAUACUGCAUAGUGUACUUAAAAUUUUGCUAAGAGGGUAGAUUUCACGUUAAAUGUCCUUACCACAAUUAAAAAAAAAAAACUGAUAACCUAUUUUUAAAAGAAGUAUAAAGAAAUAUUAAACUUUAUUCAGUGGUUUCAUUUUUAAAAUUUUGCGUUAAAGUAUAGUUGAUUUAAAGUGUUGUGCCAAUUUCUGCUGUACAGCAAAGUGACCGCAUCAUACAUAUGUAUACAUUGCAUUCCUCAUAUUACCUCCCACCAUGGUUUAUCGCAAGAGAUUGGAUAUGGUUCCCUAUGCUAUACAGUAGGAAUAUUCAGUAGUUUUAUUUCAGUGAUAGUAUUUAUUGUGCUUAAUUACUUUGAAACUCUUUGUGAAUAUUGUUUUAUGCUAUGAAUAGUCAUUUUCAUGUUAUUAUGUGCCAUGAUUUCAAUGUACAGGAAAAGGGACACUAGUCUGAAGUUCAAGAAAUUAAGUAAAUCUUUUAUUAUGUUAAACUUGACAUAAAAAUUGUAUAAACUCAAGAUUUUUUUAAAAAAUGCAUUCAUGAAAGGGCCUGUGAGCAGUGUCAUCCAAGUAGCAUUGAGUACCACUUGUGUCCAAUGUUUGUUUUCUAAAUACAUUCUCCACUAAAGGGGACAUGUAUUCUUUUCUAAAAGUGGCUGUUACCAAAUCUCAUAGGGAAAGUACAAGAUAUUAGGACAUCUUUUGUACCAGAAAGCAAAAAGGCAUUCAUAGACCAAUGUUAAAUAGAAGUGGUAAACAUAGGCAUUUUUGGCUUAUUCUCAAUCCAAAAAGAAAAACUUUCCAUCUUUCACCAUUGAGGAUGAUGUUAGCCGUGAGUUUUUCACAUAUGGAUUUUAUUAUGUUAAGGUAGUUUCCUUCUAUUCCUAGUUAGUUGAGUGUUUGUGAUAUGAAAGAGUGCUGAAUUUUUUCAAAUGAUUUUUUUCUGCAUCAUUUUCUUUCUAUUAAUGUGAUUCUUCACACUGAUCAAUUUUUGUCUGUUGAACCAACAAUGCCUUCCAGGUAUAAACUUCUUUUAGUCAUGGGUAUAUCCUUUUAAUGUGCUGUUGGAUUCGGUUUGCUAGUAUUUUUUUGGGAAUAUUUGGAUCAAUAUUUAUAAGCAAUAUUGGUAUGUAGUUUCCUAUUCUUGAAGCAUCUUUAUCCAGCUUUGGAAUCAGGGUAAUGCUGACCUCAUAGAAUGAAUUAAGAAGUGUUCCCUUCCCUUUAACUUUUUGGAAGAAUUUGAGGUUCUGUUAAUUCUUUUUUUUCCCCACUGUACAGCAAGGGGAUCAAGUUAUCCUUACAUGUAUACAUUUUCCCCCCACAUUUGGAAAAAUUCACUAGUGAAGCCAUCUGGACCAGAAUUAUGUUUUUUUAUUAAAUUAAUGGUAUAAUCUCCUUAUUCCUUGGCCUAUUGGGAUUUUCUAAUUCUUUUUUUUUAAUUUUUGUUAUAGUUGAUUUACAAUGUUCUGUCAAUUUCUGUUGUACAACAAAGUAACCCAGUUAUACAUAUGUGUAUAUUCUUUUUUUCACAUUAUCCUCCAUCAUGUUCCAUUACAAGUGAUCAGAUAUAGUACCUUGAGCUAUAGAGCAGAAUCUCAUUUCUUAUCCAUUCCAAAUGCAAUAGUUUGCAUCUACUAACCUCAAAUUCCCAGUCCCUCCCACUUCCUCCUCCUCCCUCUUGGCAACCACAAGUCUGUUCUCCAUGUC